GCCUUUAUAAGCAAAGGGGCGUAAAGGGUGUGUAGGCCGACUGCCCCACCCCCCCCCAAGGUGGUAAAUGGAAUUUUUCUGUAGCGGUAGAAUGUGCGGAUAGAAAAUAGAACCCCAAAAGCUGAAGCAAUUUACCGCGGGGUGGGAGGGGGGGCCCCCUGGGGCGCCCCCCCGGGCUACGGGCUGAAACACGAGGGUGUGGGGAACAAACAGGAUUAGAGACCCUGGUAGUCCACACUGUAAACGAUGGAGAAAAUGCGAAUGCAGUCCCGAAAGGCAGCAAUCUCCCGCCUGAGUAGUACGAUCGCAAGAUUAAAACUCAAAAAAUUUGGCUGUUCACCGUUUCGAUUAGAGGAGCGUGUAGUUUAAUUCGAUAAACCGCGAGAUACCUUACCCAAACUUGAAUCCUUGAGGAUUCUAAGGAAUCCUUAUGGACCGGUAUUGCAUGGCCGUCGUCAGUUCGUGUAUGAAACUUUAAACGGACCCAACCCGAGGAUUAGCCGCGGAUGAAGUCAGGUCUUAUGGUCCCAAUGUUUGGGGAUAAUAUGCGCUACAUUUUCUUAUACAAUGGGAAACCUGGGAGGUGAAACCCAAAAGUGAGAGUUCGGUAGGCUAUUGGAAGAUGGCCGAAAGUUGAAUUUAAUAGUAAUCGGAAAGUAUAGCGUUCCGGUGAAAUGGUCU
rnacentral:rRNA from 1 species